rfam:Gossypium arboreum cultivar AKA8401 contig_733_3, whole genome shotgun sequence.
UGUUGAAAAAUUCAUUCAUUUCUAUUGUUAAAAAUUAACAUGAUUGAUUGAAUACUAAACAAUGACACAUGGCAUGCCAUGUGUACCUUAUGCUAAAGUAUAUGGACCAAUUUUUAACAAUAAAAAUGGAUAAAAAAUUUAACA